rnacentral:lncRNA from 1 species
UAAAACAUUUAGACUGUCAGAAUAAGAGGUGAGAUAUUUGAAUGCAACAAAAACCCUCAGAUCUCAUAGCUAAGUAUAAAUCAUAUGCAGCUUAUGACAAUGGCAUGAUCACAACCUUCGUGCACCAUUUCCAUAUUUAUUUAUAUAUAUAUAUAUUUUUGAAUUGAAUGAAUAAAUGAAUGGGUAGAUAGAGAAAGAGCGAGUAACCAAGAAAGAGAAAGAGAGAAAGAAUGCCAGAAGCAACGGUGCACGUCAGGCUAUAAACAAUACCAUGUAGCCACUCAAUAGUCUAUUUGUCCAUCACUGGGUAACAAAACAUAUCACACAAUUCAUUUUUCUGAAAUACAUGAGGAGCCAAAAUUGCAAAACCAAGAAAGACAUAUACAUAAUUCAUCUACAAAAAAUCAAUCAUGAACAAUUACCAUAUGCAACAGUUUAUAAACAGAUAACUACGGUAAAAACUUUCCAAACACUAAUCUUUACAAGUGCAGAUUUCAAGAGUUUAAGUGAAUUACAAACUCCAAUUAAAAUGUGGAAAAGGAAUCCAAUAAAAAAUAUCAUAAACAUGAAAACAAUAAAGUGACCGGGGUUAAAAAGAAAGAACAUUGAAUCAGAAGGAAUACAAGGCCCUCAGAUCUCAUAGCUUAAUAAAAAGUCAUGCUCAGCUUUAGUCACAGGUUUAAUUCAUAACCAUCUUGCACCUUUCAAAGUUCAAUGUCCAAAGCUAAACGACUCACAC